GGAUCGAUGAUGAACCACAACGCAUUCCUUGGAAAAUCUGAACAAAAUGAGUGAGAACUCACUACCGUCUCCUCAUCGCAAACUGAGGUCC
rnacentral:snoRNA from 1 species